GAAUGCUGACAUAAGUAACGAUAAAGCGGGUGAAAAGCCCGCUCGCCGGAAGACCAAGGGUUCCUGUCCAACGUUAAUCGGGGCAGGGUGAGUCGACCCCUAAGGCGAGGCCGAAAGGCGUAGUCGAUGGGAAACGGGUUAAUAUUCCCGUACUUGGUGUUACUGCGAAGGGGGGACGGAGAAGGCUAUGUUGGCCGGGCGACGGUUGUCCCGGUUUAAGUGUGUAGGUGUGUGUUCCAGGUAAAUCCGGUUCACUUUAACACUGAGGCGUGACGACGAGGCACUACGGUGCUGAAGCAACAAAUGCCCUGCUUCCAGGAAAAGCCUCUAAGCAUCAGGUAACAUCAAAUCGUACCCCAAACCGACACAGGUGGUCAGGUAGAGAAUACCAAGGCGCUUGAGAGAACUCGGGUGAAGGAACUAGGCAAAAUGGUGCCGUAACUUCGGGAGAAGGCACGCUGACACGUAGGUGAAGUGAUUUACUCAUGGAGCUGAAGUCAGUCGAAGAUACCAGCUGGCUGCAACUGUUUAUUAAAAACACAGCACUGUGCAAACACGAAAGUGGACGUAUACGGUGUGACGCCUGCCCGGUGCCGGAAGGUUAAUUGAUGGGGUCAGCGCAAGCGAAGCUCCUGAUCGAAGCCCCGGUAAACGGCGGCCGUAACUAUAACGGUCCUAAGGUAGCGAAAUUCCUUGUCGGGUAAGUUCCGACCUGCACGAAUGGCGUAAUGAUGGCCAGGCUGUCUCCACCCGAGACUCAGUGAAAUUGAACUCGCUGUGAAGAUGCAGUGUACCCGCGGCAAGACGGAAAGACCCCGUGAACCUUUACUAUAGCUUGACACUGAACAUUGAGCCUUGAUGUGUAGGAUAGGUGGGAGGCUUUGAAGUGUGGACGCCAGUCUGCAUGGAGCCGACCUUGAAAUACCACCCUUUAAUGUUUGAUGUUCUAACGUGGACCCGUUACCCGGGUUGCGGACAGUGUCUGGUGGGUAGUUUGACUGGGGCGGUCUCCUCCUAAAGAGUAACGGAGGAGCACGAAGGUUGGCUAAUCCUGGUCGGACAUCAGGAGGUUAGUGCAAUGGCAUAAGCCAGCUUGACUGCGAGCGUGACGGCGCGAGCAGGUGCGAAAGCAGGUCAUAGUGAUCCGGUGGUUCUGAAUGGAAGGGCCAUCGCUCAACGGAUAAAAGGUACUCCGGGGAUAACAGGCUGAUACCGCCCAAGAGUUCAUAUCGACGGCGGUGUUUGGCACCUCGAUGUCGGCUCAUCACAUCCUGGGGCUGAAGUAGGUCCCAAGGGUAUGGCUGUUCGCCAUUUAAAGUGGUACGCGAGCUGGGUUUAGAACGUCGUGAGACAGUUCGGUCCCUAUCUGCCGUGGGCGCUGGAGAACUGAGGGGGGCUGCUCCUAGUACGAGAGGACCGGAGUGGACGCAUCACUGGUGUUCGGGUUGUCAUGCCAAUGGCACUGCCCGGUAGCUAAAUGCGGAAGAGAUAAGUGCUGAAAGCAUCUAAGCACGAAACUUGCCCCGAG
rnacentral:rRNA from 1 species